GUGCAUGUCAAGUGUGCCUCAGAGUCUUACCCCACCCACGUAUCAAUUUUGAAAACUGCAACAUUAGUAGGCGUUGCCUGGAGGACCGAGAGGGCGGAGCCGCGGCAGUGACGAAGAGACGGCUAACUAGACGAAGCUAGCUCCCUUCACUCUGAGCAGUCAUUAGAAGUGGAGGACGUUUCUCCCCCUCCUUACCCAGACACUCGAGAAGAAAGGGACCAAGUCUAUUUGGAGGAGACAAGCGGACAUGAGCCUUAUUGUUUUGAGCUUGUGAGUUGCCUGAAAUUACUGGAACCGACCCAACAGACCCAUCUCUGAACGUGAUCCUCUGGUGUCUGCAGCUGAUCUCCUGCUGAUGUCGUCGGGAUCAGGAGCUUCCAGAAGAAUGUGCCUUUCAAUGACUCUUUCCCCCUUAUUUGUUAUAUUAAUUAAAUAAAUCUCAAUUUAUAUAUUUCCUGUUUUUGUUCAUGUCCAUAAAUACUUAAACAUGCUUGAAAUUAAAACGAGCUUUUAA